AACGAACGCUGGCGGCAUGCCUAAUACAUGCAAGUCGAACGAGACCUUCGGGUCCUUUGGCCCACGGGUUCGUCACCCGACGGAUCAUUCACUCAUGUUCGAUCUACCUCUCAGAAAGGGGUGCCAUUUCCGGAUAAUUUCUACGGCCCAAAGAUGUAUUGACUCAGGAUGGUCCCGCGUUGGAUUAGCUAGUUGGUAGGGUAAAAGCCUACCAAGGCGAAGAUCCAUAGCUGGUCUGAGAGGAUGAUCAGCCACACUGGGACUGAGACACGGCCCAGACUCCUACGGGAGGCAGCAGUGGGGAAUAUUGGACAAUGGGCGAAAGCCUGAUCCAGCAAGGCCGCGUGAGUGAUGAAGGCCUUAGGGUUGUAAAGCUCUUUUACCCGGGAUGAUAAUGACAGUACCGGGAGAAUAAGCGCCGGCUAACUCCGUG
rnacentral:rRNA from 1 species